GCUUACGGCCACACCUCCCUGAGCAAGCCCGAUCUCGUCUGAUCGGAAGCUAAGCCAGGGUCGGGCCCGGCUUAGUAUUGGAUGGGAGACCGCCUGGGAAUACCAGGUGCUGUAAGCC
rnacentral:rRNA from 1 species